GUGCUUGCUUUGGAAGCACAUAUUCUGAAAUUGGGCCAAUAUAGAGGUUAGCAUGGUCUCUGUAUAAGGAUGACUUAAAAAUUGGUGAAUGGUAUAUAAAAAAU
ensembl:snRNA U6 U6 spliceosomal RNA